rnacentral:tRNA from 1 species
UAGCUCAGUCAGUUGAGCGUGGCGCUAGCAACGCCAAGGUUGCGGGGUUCGAUUCCCGU